CCAAUAGCGUAUAUUAAAGUUGUUGCAGUUAAAAAGCUCGUAGUUGAAUUUCGGGAUCAAUUUAUUGGUCGUGCCAACGGUACGCACUGGUACAAUUGGUUUCUCCCUUCUGACGAAGCAUGAUGUCAUUAACUUGAUGUCGUGGGGAAUCAGGACUGUUACUUUGAAAAAAUUAGAGUGUUUAAAGCAAGCUUUGGCUUGAAUACAUUAGCAUGGAAUAAUGAAAUAGGACGUUUGAUCUUAUUUCGUUGGUUUCUAGGAUCGACGUAAUGAUUAAUAGGGAUAGUUGGUGGCAUUAUUAUUCAAUUGUCAGAGGUGAAAUUCUUGGAUUUAUUGAAGACUAACUACUGCGAAAGCAUUUGCCAAGGAUGUUUUCAUUAAUCAAGAACGAAAGUUAGGGGAUCGAAGACGAUCAGAUACCGUCGUAGUCUUAACCAUAAACUAUGCCGACUAGGGAUCGGAUGAUGUUAAUUUUUUAAUGACUCAUUCGGCGCCUUACG
rnacentral:rRNA from 1 species